rnacentral:rRNA from 1 species
UACGAGUGGUGCAAGCGUUAUUCGGAAUCAUUGGGCGUAAAGGGCGCGUAGACGGUAUGCUAAGUCAGCUGUUAAAUCCCUCGGCUUAACCGAGGAUAUGCGGCUGAAACUGAUGUACUUGAGGGUGGAAGAGAGAAGUGGAAUUCUCGGAGUAGCGGUAAAAUGCGUAGAUCUCGAGAGGAACACCAAUGGCGAAGGCAGCUUCUUGGUCCAUUCCUGACGUUGAGGCGCGAAAGCGUGGGGAGCAAACAGG